UUCCGGUUGAUCCUGCCGGAGGCUACCGCUAUUGGAGUUCGAUUAAGCCAUGCGAGUCGCGAGAAAUUAGAUUCUCGGCGUACCGCUCAGUAACACGUGGGUAACCUGCCCUAUGCUGGAUAAUAACCUCGGGAAACUGAGAAUAAUGAUCCAUAGUUCACUACGCCUGGAACGGUGAGUGGAUGAAAGCUCCGGCGGCAUAGGAUGGGCCUGCGGCGUAUCAGGUUGUAGGGGGUGUAACGUACCCUCUAGCCCUCUACGCGUACGGGUGUUGGGAGACAUAGCCCGGAGAUGGAUUCUGAGACACGAAUCCAGACCCUACGGGGUGCAGCAGGCGCGAAAACUUGGCAAUGCGAGAAAUCGUGACCAGGGAACUCCAAGUGCAUGGGGUAAGACCCAUGCUUUUCUUGACUCUAAAUAGGUCUUGGAAUAAGGGGUGGGUAAGGACGGUGCCAGCCGCCGCGGUAAUACCGGCGCCUCAAGUGGUAGUCGCUUUUAUUGGGCCUAAAACGUCCGUAGCCGGUCUGAUACAUUCGUGGGUAAAUCAACCAGCUUAACUGGUUGAAUUCUGCGAGGACGGUCAGACUUGGGACCGGGAGAGGUGUGGGGUACGCUCAGGGUAGGGGUAAAAUCCUGUCAUCCUGAGCGGACCACCUGUUGCGAAGGCGCCACACUAGAACGGAUCCGACGGUCAGGGACGAAGCCUAGGGGCACGAACCGGAUUAGAUACCCGGGUAGUCCUAGGUGUAAACGCUGUGGACUUGAUGUUGGGGGUGCUCCGAGCACUCUCAGUGUCGAAGCGAAGGCGAUAAGUCCACUGCCUGGGAAGUACGGUCGCAAGGCUGAAACUUAAAGGAAUUGGCGGGGGAGCACCGCAACCUGAGGAUUGUGCGGUUUAAUUGGAUUCAACGCCGG
rnacentral:rRNA from 1 species